CAGCCGCCGCGGGAAUACGAGGGGGGCAAGCGUUGUUCGGAAUUAUUGGGCGCAAAGGGCGCGUAGGCGGUUUGACAAGUUUGGUGUGAAAUCUAUGGGCUCAACCCAUAGCCUGCAUCGAAAACUGUCGGGCUUGAGUAUGGGAGAGGUGAGUUGAAUUUCCGGUGUAGCGGUGAAGUGCGUAGAUAUCGGAAGGAACACCUGUGGCGAAAGCGGCUCACUGGACCAUUACUGACGCUGAGGCGCGAAAGCUAGGGGAGCAAACAGGAUUAGAUACCCCAGUAGUCCCUGUCUCUUAUAC
rnacentral:rRNA from 1 species